UCCCUGGUGGCUCAGACGGUAAAGAAUCCGCCUGCUAUGCGGGAGACCUGGGUUCAAUCCCUGGGUUGGGAA
rfam:Ovis aries breed Texel chromosome 7, whole genome shotgun sequence.